GCCACUCCCACAAACGGCUACGACCGCACCUACAUAUUUUUGCAUGUUUACAAUUUUAAUUUUAAACAGCCAAUCGACGUUUCAUUGUAUUGUUGUCAAGAACCGGAUUGGCUGUUUAAAAUUAGAAUUGUAAAGAUGCAAAAAUAUGUAGGUGCGGUCGUAGACGUUUGUGAGAGUGGC
rnacentral:miRNA from 1 species